AGAAAAAAGAGGGGCCUUCUCCCCCCUUUACUCUGUUUUCCUGUAUCCCGCGCUUAUUCAAAGACAAACCGAACCAGCAACACGCACUCUCUCUCUCUAUGGUGUUGAACGUGGAAUCCAACAAUCCUCUCCGAUGAAGAAGAAGAAGAGGAAGAAGAGAACCAAAGAACACCACUCCCAUCUCUCCCUCAAAAAACCCCAACUCGACCCCAUUCAAAUCCCCCUCUUUCGUUCCCGAGACUCCCAUGCCCGAUGUCUCCAUUGUAAAAUGCACUCCCCCCAGGCCCCCCCCCCCCCCCACCCCAAAUUCCGAUCAUAACCUCCUCUCUGAUACAUGAUUGCCCCGAAAAAGAAAGUUUUAGCAGGGAGCAGAUGGCUAACACCAUGAAAUAGAAAAGGAAAACUAAAGUUAACCCUGACGAGGAAAACAGCACAGAUGAAGCAGUGGCAAAAAAGGAAGAAAGCAUACACUUAAUGGAAGAAAAGAAGCUAAGAAAGAAGCAGCAAGAGAAGUUGCUGGAAGCAACUAUGAAGGCUCAAGCGGCGGAGUUGAAAAAAAUGGAGAAAGAAAUGCAAAACUGAGAAAAAGGGAAAUUUGCCCUAGAGUAUAUUGUUGCUGAAUUUGACUCUAGAUUAAUUGAGCAUGGCUCAGU